rnacentral:rRNA from 1 species
AACGAACGCUGGCGGCAUGCCUAACACAUGCAAUUCGAACGAGACUUUCGGGUCUAGUGGCGCACGGGUGCGUAACGCGUGGGAACCUGCCCUUAGGUUCGGAAUAACUCCCCGAAAGGGGUGCUAAUACCGGAUAAUGUCUUCGGACCAAAGAUUUAUCGCCUUUGGAUGGGCCCGCGUUGGAUUAGCUAGUUGGUAGGGUAAAAGCCUACCAAGGCGACGAUCCAUAGCUGGUCUGAGAGGAUGAUCAGCCACACUGGGACUGAGACACGGCCCAGACUCCUACGGGAGGCAGCAGUGGGGAAUAUUGGACAAUGGGCGAAAGCCUGAUCCAGCAAUGCCGCGUGAGUGAUGAAGGCCUUAGGGUUGUAAAGCUCUUUUACCCGGGAUGAUAAUGACAGUACCGGGAGAAUAAGCUCCGGCUAACUCCGUG